rnacentral:rRNA from 1 species
UACGAGGGGGGCGAGCGUUGUUCGGAAUUAUUGGGCGUAAAGGGUGCGUAGGCGGUUUGGUAAGUCUUGUGUGAAAUCUCCAGGCUCAACUUGGAGUCUGCACGAGAAACUGCCGGGCUUGAGUGUGGGAGAGGUGAGUGGAAUUCCUGGUGUAGCGGUGAAAUGCGUAGAUAUCAGGAGGAACACCUGUGGCGAAAGCGGCUCACUGGACCGCAACUGACGCUGAUGCACGAAAGCGAGGGGAGCAAACAGG